UGCUACUUAUCUCUUUCUUGCCUUUCAAAACUGAAAAACUCUCUCUCUCCCUCUCUCUUCCCAUCUGCUAUGAUCUUUAAUUAGAGUCAAGUGCCGAUAUCUCCUCCCUUUUUCCACAGCCUAUGUCAAAUACUCAACUAUCCCAAUCUCAGUCUCAUCUCCUUCUAAUCAAACAACCACUCAGAGUAGUCUAUGUGGAAUCAUGCCUAGUUUGUUGUUGAGCAUAGUGGAUCGGCUGACUUUCUUCCUCUCUCUAAUGUAUUCGAACCCAAAUCCGAUCCCCAAUUUAAGAAAAAGAUAGAUUGAUAUCAGAAUCAUUGUGAGUAGAAAUAGGAGGUGGAGGCAUGGAUGAUUGGUUUCAGUAAUCAUAUCUAUGCUGAUUGGGUUAUGGCAUGGAUGAUUUCUAAUCAAGCAGAUCUAUCCAUUGAAAUAAUGCUCUACACCGAAGACUGAUUACGAUGUCGAUGGAGAUUUUGACCCAGAAGAUCUUCCAACAACCUCUUAUAACAAUUUGAAUUUUGAAUUCGAUUCUACUGAACCAGAAGAUAUGCAUGCAAGGACCAUGUUUGUUGAUGAACCAGAUCUGGGAAUAAAAGAAAUAAUCAGACGUAUUAAAAUUUAGAAAUUUUAAACAAUUGGUAAAAUUAUUUUCUUUAAUACAAUUGGACCGAUGAAAUGUCAAAAAUAUCUGUAACAAAAAAAAAAUGUCAAAAAUAUAUUAUUUAAUA